AACUUCUUUUUGCAAAUUUAACAGUUUUUAGAUUUAGCAGCAAUGAACUUGAUGUACUUUUUAAAAAAAAUUUUCAGACAGUCUCACUCUUGUUACCCAGGCUGGUGAGCAGUGGCACAAUCUUGGCUCACUGCAACCUCCGCCUCCAGGAGAAUCACUUGAACCCAGGGGGCAGAGGUUGCAAUGAGCUGAGAUCACAGCACUGCACUCCAGCCUGGGCAGCAGAGUAAGACUUUGUCUCAAAGAAAGAACAAAAACAAACAAAAAAAAAUGUUUUAUAUGCAAAAGUUUUUUGUAUCAUGCUUGUAUAAAUCCAGCUUUUUUUGUAUCAUGCUUGUAUUUUUUUUUUCUAGCUGUUAUUGCUUUUCUGAUAAUAGUACUGAAUUUGGUGUUAUGGUUGGUCAUUUUCUUCUAGAUAAUAUGUAAUCCAAAAUAUUCUUUUUUUUGUUUGUUUGUUUGUUUGUUUGAGACGGAGUCACGUUCUGUUGCCUGGGCUGGAGUGCACUGAUGCAAUCUUGGCUCACUGAAAUCUCUGCCUCCCAGGAGAAUUGCUUGAAUCCGGGAGGCGGAGGUUGCAGUGAACUGAGAUUGCACCACUGCACUCCAGCCUGGGCGACAGAGUGAGACUCCGUCUCAGAAAAAUAAAAAACAACUUUGGACAUAGAGGAGUUGGGGGCAGAGGGGGGAGGAUGAGAGAAUUUUCCAUGUAACUCCUUUUCCUUAAGAAAAAGAAGCAAAAAUCCCUCAUGCAGUGCCAUCUGACUUUAUGGUGUUUCACAUUAUAUAGUUACUUUUUUUAAUAAACGCAUAAGAUUAACUCUUCCUGCAACCCAAGGUGGAUACUUGGAUGUUUGAUUUUUAUUUAUUUAUUUAUUUAUUUUUUGAGGCAGUCUCUCUCUGUUGCCCAGGCUGGAGUGAUGCGUGAUUUCUGCUCACUGCAGUCUCUCCCACCCGGGUUCAAGCGAUUCUCCUGCCUCAGCCUCCCAAGUAGCUAGGAUUACAGGCGCGCACCACCACGCUCAGCCUGAUUUCUAGGCUGAAAAGGCUGGGACUCAGGUACUUUCCCCAGUUGGGACUGAACUUUCUCAUCAGAGAAUGGGCCUCAGAAGCAAUGUUCCCAAACUUGUGGUUGGGUCAUCGUGGAAAAGAAACCUCAAAUAAGAAAAAUAAUUACAAUAAGAAAUGGAUUUUCUUUUUUCCCACAACAGUUAUACAUUAUAAAGAACAGACUGUCGUAGAAAACUGUCUUUGCUUCCAAAUCAGCAGAGGACCAUUGUAUGUAUUGUCAGGUCUUUAUAUAAGAGUGAAACCUUUAUUUAUGCUUCUUGUGAGUAGAGAAUAAAUUUUAAAACUAAUUAGAUGAAAUUAAGAACAGAGUAUUGGAACAUCUCUGUGUUUUCCGGAAUGUUUACUCAGGUCCAUGAAUGCUGUGAUGCUGGGAACUUAGGGAAGAUUCACCAAAAUUUGAGAGUGAUAAAAAUGGCCUAAAAUGGGAAAUGGUGAGCACUCUUAUUAUUAGUGAGAUUGGUCAAUCAGCCCAUUUGAAAUGGGUAAAAAAUACUUUCAGUAAAAUAAUUACAUAUUAUAUAUAAAAUAUUUCUUUUUUUGAGGGCAGCUACUGAGUGAUAAAAGCAUAGUAGAAAUCACUUUGGUUAAAAGUAACUCAAAUUUUUCUCUUAAGUAAUCUACCAACUUCCUGAUGUUUUUCUUUAAUAUUUUGGAACUGUUCAAGACAGAAUGGAGCCUACAUAUAUGGUGUUCCACUAGUAUGUUGAAAAUGUCAUAUCAUGGAGAAUGGAGACACCUUCCAGGUGUCUGUUAAACCCAUCUUCUCUGUGUACUUCUGGCAUCUUUUUUGGUAGGAUCAUUUGGCAGGGGGUAGAGUACCUGUACUUUUGGCACCAUUGAAACCAGCUCUGGCCCACUUGUUUGAAUAGCUAUCAGACUCAGCGUCUCUAUAUGCUUUAUAUACAGUUGAGAGAACCAGUGUUUAAUGCUCUUGAAAUUGUAUCUUCCAUGCUUCAGACCAGAUGCAUUUAACAAAAUGGAUAUAUUCCAGCUGUAGUUGCCCAGUGUUUACUUAACACAUCUACAUUUUUUUCUUGUCUAUUUUGGUCCCCUUGAUAGGAAAAGCUAUAAUUUUAGGCAGGACUAUACGUCGAUUUGUAGCCAUGCUUCCUUCCUUUCCCUUGCUCAUCCAUGUUAGCUGGCAGUUUUUCUUUUGAAAAGUUAAAACCGGGAUAUGUGCAAUAGAAAUAUAUAUAUAUAUAUGUAUAUUUUAAUACUUGUGGACAAAUGUUACAAGUUGUUUAAGAACAACAAAAUCACCAAUGUCUUCCAUUUUGAGAUGUGUAUAGUUUUGUAAGCAUUAGUGCUUGGUAGCAUAUUGUAGUGCCAUGUUAGGGGUUAGUGCAUGAGUCUAGUGAUUUUAAACUUCAGGAUGAAUUAUUGAUAAUAACAAAUAGUGUAAAAAGAGUGGAAAAUCUAAACCUUUUCUUUUUCCAUAAUGUCUAAAUCUGUUAUAUUCUUCCUGGGGAAAAGAGAUUAAGGCCCAAAAGACUCAUUUAUGAAUAGAAAUGUGGGGUCAAAAUCUGAGAUACUAUAUUUGAGGACAUUUCAGCUUUCCAUAAGGUAUCUGGAAACCAGCUGUCUUUGUGUCUUAUGAAACCUCAAGUCAAAAUGAGACCGCAUUUAAUUAUUCUGCUUUGCUCUUUUUUUGGGGUGGGGGGGAGAUAGAGUUUCACUCUGUCACCCAGGCUGGAGUGCAGUGGCACAAUCUUUGCUCACUGUAACCUCUGCCUCUUGGGUUCAAGUGAUUCUCGUGCCCCAGCCUCCCGAGUAGCUGGGACUACAGGCACGUGCCACCACGCCCAGCUAAUUUUUAUAUUUUUAGUAGAGACGGGGUUUUGCUGUGUUGGCCAGGCUGGUCUCAAACUCCUGACCUCAAGUAAUCCACCUGGCCUGCUCUUUUCAUGUCUUAACAUGGCAUGUCUUUUAGUUUCAUUAUUUUCCUACUCCUUGUAUGUCAAGAAAUUACAUUUUGCAUGUCUUAUGGAGAUGCUGUUAAUUGCUUCAGUGAGUGCUUUUCUAAUCUGCAGACCAUUUACAUUUCCUGUUUGCAGCAUGCUGUGUGCAAACACUCAGUAAUUUGGAGUAUUCAAUUAUUUGUUAGGGCUCUUCCUAUUUCCAAAUGUGCUGAAUUGUCUAUUGAUGGGAUUUUCAGAUCUUUUCAUGAGAACUGGAAAUGUAGCUGGGUGGCACCUACCUAGGUUGCUACGUAGUGAGUAGACUUUCUCUUGGGUAUAGUAAGCCUCAGACAGCUUUCACUUUUAUCUACUUUACUUGUGGAAAUAAAACAGUCAUUUUGUUCUGAAAGAAUAAGAUAGCUUUCUGUAGAGAAGGAAUUCCUACCUCUAAAAGCUGCCUUGAGAACUCAGAACUGGCAGUUUUCUGAGGUGAUUUUUAAAUUUCAGUAUUAGGGAGAGUCCAGCAUUUGCUGACACAGAUUCUACAUAACUAAUGUAUGAUAGCAAAUGCAAAACUAUUAUAAUGUGGUGUAUCUUGCGCAUACACAGGUUAGAACAAGUAGACUCUGGCAGCAGAUCUCCAGAGACCCAAGUUUAGGUUCUCAUAGUGUAUUUGAAGUAGUUAUACUCCUGGCUUAAGUAGUUUAGUGCCUGGGAGAAUCCAUUACUGAAAAGCAUUUAACUUAAAAAAAAAAAAAAAAAAAAAAAAAAAA
rnacentral:lncRNA from 1 species